UUUAACCUGUUAGGUGACAGCUGGUUUAUGUAUAUAUAUAUAUAUAUAUAUAUAUAUAUAUAUAUAUAUCACGUUGGUAAUACAAACUCAGUAUAAGAUAAUGCAAACGGCCGCUCUUCUAAAAGCUAGAGAUGACACUGUCAGCAUCAAGAAACAACUGAGAAACUUUAGCUCAGGUGUUGCGAGUCAUGCCCCUGAGAAUGAUGGCCUUCCAGAGGGCACUUGCAAUGUUUCUGCAGCUCCAGGUACUUCUCCAUGUUGAAACCAUGCUUCACGCAAAGCUUUCUCCUCCUCGACUCAAACAUCCUCUCCAUGAAGUCUUGAUACGUCGGGUCCCUGAUGACGAAGUAGGCAUAGCCAACCAGCAGCCCCGAGGUGGUCGGGAAAAUAGAUACUACCACCUAGUGGUAGUUACCACCACCCUUACUGCCGUCGGAUGCCAUCCAUGUGUGGAAGCUGAUUAACGGGUCACGGUUUUGGAAGUAGCUAGAUUUUCUCAACCCGAUUAAAUAUCCAGCCGCACCCUCCCGAUUUAUAUGGCUAGUUUUAUCAUAGUAUAUAACUACCUCGAGUCAAAGCAAAUGAGGCUAGCCUUUAAAAUAUAUCCGUCGGCUUCGCGGCCGCCGCUGGCGUCAUGUUUCACGGGAGGUAAGCAUGUGGAGUUAUUACGGUGAUCCAUCCCAAAACACAUAUGUUAAUCUUUGCUUCAUCUUUUUUUUGUGGGGUAAUCUUUGCUCCAUCUUGCUCUAUUUCUCUAGAUUUAGCAUAUGUACGUGUGACCUAUGGAUGCCAAGACCGGUGCUCAUGCUUCAGAUCAGGACUACACAAUCAGAAAAAAAAGAGGCCCAUCUGCAACGGAUAUUUUGUCUUUCGUGAUCCAUAUGCUUGGAAAAUGUGAAUAAUUCAUCUUUUAUCUUUAAUUCCAGGUUGGGGACAAGAUAUAUACACAUGCACGGCCUUCAUGCGAGUUUUAUCCCUGAAGUGAGAUAGACGGCAUCAUGCGUACAUACACCGGCCCUAUCAUCGACGACAACAUGGCGUUGAUAUCCGUGGCCGGGCGCAUUCUUGCUUUCCGGGACAUUACUCGUCUGCUGUUGUUGUCGGGCUACCAAAUGCUAAUACUAAUUCUUUUAUAUUUUGUUGGAUACUUUUCAACAUUUCAAAGUACGUCGCCAUCGGAUCUGUGGCCGUGGCGACGCCGACGACAUCCACCAACUAUGUUGGCUCCGCACUUGCACCACGUACUGUUCAGUACUGCUCCGGCACUUCUGACAUACCUGAUGAUGGUGAGAAGUGGAGACACAUGGUAGAGGGACGUGAUUGCUCCAGCAUGGCGGCGGCGGCUGCACCAACGUAUACGUCCGAUCACAGAUUAAGAGUUGCUAAACAAAGUUCAGGGAUGAUAAGAUGGGCACAUGACCGGAAGGAAACAACAGAAUAAAUUGUAUAUGAUCAUUCGAUGUCACGUAGAGGUCGAUGGAAUCAUGGAUGAACUACUUAUAUUAUCUGUGUAGUACAUCAAUGUGUAUAUGUUGGCUCCGUAUCUUUAAUUUGUUGUAGCAAGAGAUAAUACUACAUACUAUAUUUCUUGUAGCAAGAGAUAAUACUACAUACUUUUUUUCGCGAGAUAAUACUACAUACUACCUUUUAAUUAUUAUACUCCAUACUACUUUUCUUACAUAUAGUCUCUUUUUGUAAUCUACAUAUUCCCUUUCUCUAAUAAUACAUACUAUAUGCGUGCAUGUGAGAGUGCCUCGGAAAUUCCACGGAAUGCACGCUAACAUACUACUAUUACGUAUACAUACGCUCUCUUUUUAAUUCCAUUGAUAUACUCAAUCCUUGUCUUAAUACUGUAAACCUCAAUUAAACAUCAUACUCUGUACUCCAAUUUAAGAGCGUACAUACUCUAUACACCAUGCCUCCAACAACUGUAAGGCAUACAUCAUACUUUUCAUAAUCUAUAUGACUAUGGAGUAUAUAUAUUCUACUUUUUCUGAAGUAUAUAGUAUGUAUAACAUAGCUCGACGAAUAUACUGUAUAUAGAGUAUAUAUGGAGUAUAUAUAUUCUACUUUUUCUGAAGUAUAUAGUAUGUACCUAUAAUAUAGCUGGACAAGUAUACUAUAGUGUAUGGAGUAUGUAUAUUGAGACUAUCCAGCGGGGGUAGAAUAUGUAUGGAACAGAUAUACCAUAAAGGAACAAGAGGAUGUUUUUAAUAUUAGUUGGUGCAGUACGUAAGUCACGCUAACUAACCCUUAUCCGGUGUUUAAAAAAGCAGCUAGCACUUAUCCACGCAGUGAUAUGCGGUGCAUGCGGUCGGGCUACUAGCGUGUUGUUCAACUAACUACUGAGAGUGAAAUGUUAAUGGAUCACUAUUCAUCCACUAACCCGUUUGCACAUCGGUGUAGAAGGACACAUGGCACAUAGAUAAUUAGGAGGUAACUACCACUGCUUGUAGAUAAAAUUUGUCGUAUAUCACUUUGGUAAUACAAACUCAGUAUAAGAUAAUGCAAACGGCCGCUCUUCUAAAAGCUAGAGAUGACACUGUCAGCAUCAAGAAACAACUGAGAAACUUUAGCUCAGGUGUUGCGAGUCAUGCCCCUGAGAAUGAUGGCCUUCCAGAGGGCACUUGCAAUGUUUCUGCAGCUCCAGGUACUUCUCCAUGUUGAAACCAUGCUUCACGCAAAGCUUUCUCCUCCUCGACUCAAACAUCCUCUCCAUGAAGUCUUGAUACGUCGGGUCCCUUGAGGUGAUGACGAAGUAGGCAUAGCCAACCAGCAGCCCCGAGGUGGUCGUGAAGAAGGCAAUCGGCUCCAUCACGUCCCAUGAGAACUCCCAGAACGUGAGACGGAAGAAGAUCCCAACCUGGAGCAUGAAGAACCCUAAGCCAGUCCACAGGACUCGCCGGACUUGCUUGUGUGCCAGCUUGUCGAUCUCUUCCUUCUUUUCCUGGAGCUGCUUAAACUCUGCCUGUCUCGUGUCGUUGUCUGGUGCGAGUGCAAGCGGCACCGCCCUUCUGACCAGGUCCACAACCUAAAAACAGUGAUUGACCAUAAAUAUAUCAGUUGAAAAUUUAACUGCAUGUCCGCCUUUUUUCAUGUAGCAUAAGAAAAAUGAUCAACUCUUACCAAAUAACUCACAACCAUACAUAAUAGAUCACCACAAAAGAUUUCAAAGUUGUCACUUGCCCACAUACGAAAGCAACAGAAACAACGUUAUGCUGAAUUGUUGAUGAGGCAAUCCUUGUUGAAUAAAUAUAGUUUUUGGAUUUAUUGCCACAUGUGAGGUGGAUGCUUGGAUGCUUUUAACUGGUGUAGGCAUCACCUAAAUAAGAAAACAAUGUCCACUUUUCUGCUCACAGGAUUCUAAGGUCCUUAUUCUGACCAGGGUAGGUGAAGAGAAGGGAGAUCCCUUAUUUCUACCACAUGAGGUGAAUUGUCCAAUCUUGUUUUUUAUAACUCUGAGAAAAUUAAUCUACGCACCCCCGGCUGAAUAUAUGCUACUUCAGCUAAAUUAUUGUUACCUCCCAAUUAUACACAACACUAGUCCUUUCCACUGUUCGUUGUUCAUCCACGCAAUUAAACACAAUUCCACAAUUAAACAGUGGUCAAUAUCAUCUAAUCAAUUUGGACAGCAAAUCAGUCUACCGGACUCCCUAUGGCGCAGCGGUUCAAACAGGAAUGCAUGACCCCAAUACAUACAUUUCCCACAAAAACUGAGGUGAAUGAAAUUGCAUUUGAAGCCAUUGUAUUUCUACCAAAUUUGACCAGCGUUGAGUUGCUACCUAUUCAAACUAUGUAGUGAUCUGGCAAAUGAGUGAUCAUAGAACAUCCAAUUCACAGAUAUGACUAAACUAGUACUAGUACUCAAAAGGUUUGCGCUUUCACGAGUAAAGCUCUCCGUGCACAAGAACUCAAAUCACUAAAUAAAUGCUGCCAAUUGGAAUCGGAGAACAGAUCGUCGUGAAAGCACCUCGUUUAGUUAGGUUUAGCUACAAAGAGGGAAGGCGCGAGUGAAGAAAACCUAGCAAGAGCAAAAUGUUGACCUUCUCGGGGUGGAGGUACGCCUUGUCCCGGA
rnacentral:lncRNA from 1 species